rnacentral:lncRNA from 1 species
AUGCCAAACUUUGGUUUGCUGCCCAAGCCUCAUUAUUUUGUGAUCAUUCAGUUUGUUUCUUCUUUCUUUUUUUUGUUUCAGAUCAGUUUUAUUGUGAAGCGAGGUUUUAUACAUUCAAAGUAUAGCGAGCUUCACUUUUCUAUAUCUGAAGAGCAUGAGAAUUUGUUUCUUGGCAAUGAUCAGGACAUUGGCCAGGCAAGGAGAAUGAACAGGGUCCGGCUCUAG